AUGUUUGAGUAAUCGCUGCAACUUUGUUGUAGAGGAAAGUCCAUGCUCGCACAGUCUGAGAUGACUGUAGUGUUCGUGCCUAGCGAAGUCAUAAGCUAGGGUAGCCUGGUUUUUACUGGGCUAACGGCAGGGAAAACACCUAAGUGCCGCUUUUAGUUGCAUAUGGUGUGAAUACCUUGAAAGUGCCACAGUGACGGAGUCUGUCUAGAAAUGGGCAGGGUGGAACGAGGUAAACCCCACGAGCGAGAAACCCAAAAUUAGGUAGGGGCAUCCCCAAGAAGGAACUAAACGGAAUGGGGAACAGACAGCUUUGUCUGUAGACAGAUGAUUACUGCUUCUUGUACGAGGGGUGACACCCGCUUGCAGUACGGAAGUACAGAACAUGGCUUACAAAA
rnacentral:RNase_P_RNA from 1 species